GAAAUACCUCGGCUUAACUGAGGAACUGCAACUAAAACUAUAUUUCUUGAGUACAGGAGAGGUAAGUGGAAUUCCUAGUGUAGCGGUGAAAUGCGUAGAUAUUAGGAGGAACACCAGUGGCGAAGGCGACUUACUGGACUGAAACUGACGUUGAGGCACGAAAGUGUGGGGAGCAAACAGGAUUAGAUACCCUGGUAGUCCACGCUGUAAACGAUGAAUACUAGGUGUGCGGGGACUGACCCCCUGCGUGCCGCAGUUAACACAAUAAGUAUUCCACCUGGGGAGUACGAUCGCAAAGUUGAAACUCAAAGGAAUUGACGGGGGCCCGCACAAGCAGCGGAGCAUGUGGUUUAAUUCGAAGCAACGCGAAGAACCUUACCUAGACUUGACAUGUCCUGAAUUACCAGUAAUGUGGGAAGUUCCUUCGGGAACAGGAACACAGGUGGUGCAUGGUUGUCGUCAGCUCGUGUCGUGAGAUGUUGGGUUAAGUCCCGCAACGAGCGCAACCCUUAUUGUUAGUUGGUACCAUUAAGUUGACCACUCUAGCGAGACUGCCCGGGUUAACCGGGAGGAAGGUGGGGAUGACGUCAAAUCAUCAUGCCCCUUAUGUCUAGGGCUACACACGUGCUACAAUGGCAAGUACAAAGAGAAGCAAUACUGUGAAGUGGAGCAAAACUCAAAAACUUGUCUCAGUUCGGAUUGUAGGCUGAAACUCGCCUACAUGAAGCUGGAGUUGCUAGUAAUCGCGAAUCAGAAUGUCGCGGUGAAUACGUUCCCGGGUCUUGCACACACCGCCCGUCA
rnacentral:rRNA from 1 species